CAGCACUAUAGAUUUAUUUAUAUGUAUAGACAUACACACAUGUAUGUAUAAACAAGUAUAGAUUGAACAAGGGGCAGACGUGUGGUCAUUCAACUUGAGCAUAAUUAUACUUCAAGAUGACGAGUUGACCAAGUUUACAAGCCAGUUGGCUUGUAUGACAAAGUUAUGCACCAUAUUCAACAGUUUGUGACACGCGCAACUAUAUUUUAAAAGCAUGCUAAUUUACAUUAUAAAUUAUAAUGUUGAUAUGCGAGUGUAAUAUG